rnacentral:lncRNA from 1 species
CAAAACUAGGCCUCGUAUUCACUCGGUUGUCACUCGGGCACCUUCGGCAUGCUGCGUUCUCGUUUCUCUACUGUUCUAGACUCGCCAGUGCCACGCGUUGUGUGACCACGGAAGCUUAUCGAUUUUUUGCUCCGCGCUUAUAAAAAAUACGAAAUUUCAUCGGCCAGAUGUGAGAAAAAACCCUGAUAUUGACCAUGCUGCAAGUCCAUCUAUACUAAGUGAGCUACUAGUGGAAGCAUCUACAACAAAUAGUACACAAAACAUGUCGCCAAACACAAUCCCUUAUAAAAUCCCGUUUAUGUCGAAUGAUAAAAUACUCCUGGAGCUAGCUAAUGUCAAAUUUUCCAUGACCUCGUCCACAAUAAACGACGUUCAAGAACAAUCACUCUACACAGAACAAAUUUUAUCAAAUGAUACACAGCAACAGUCUAAAAUUCUACAAUCAGUUACUUUAAUCUUUAAUGUGAAAAUUAGAUUUUGAGAAAGUUAAGAAUACACGUCGCGUCAAAGAAAACAUUCAGUAAUAUUAUCUAGCACACCAAUGAAAACAGCAUUUGAAGAGAAGGAGAAGAAACGUUAAGA